AGUGAACGCUGGCGGUAGGCCUAACACAUGCAAGUCGAACGGCAGCACAGUAAGAGCUUGCUCUUACGGGUGGCGAGUGGCGGACGGGUGAGGAAUACAUCGGAAUCUACUUUUUCGUGGGGGAUAACGUAGGGAAACUUACGCUCAUACCGCAUACGACCUACGGGUGAAAGCAGGGGAUCUUCGGACCUUGCGCGAUUGAAUGAGCCGAUGUCGGAUUAGCUAGUUGGCGGGGUAAAGGCCCACCAAGGCGACGAUCCGUAGCUGGUCUGAGAGGAUGAUCAGCCACACUGGAGCGGAGACACGGUCCAGACUCCUACGGGAGGCAGCAGUGGGGAAUAUUGGACAAUGGGCGCAAGCCUGAUCCAGCCAUACCGCGUGGGUGAAGAAGGCCUUCGGGUUGUAAAGCCCUUUUGUUGGGAAAGAAAAGCAGCAGGUUAAUACCCCGCUGUUCUGACGGUACCCAAAGAAUAAGCACCGGCUAACUUCGUG
rnacentral:rRNA from 1 species